UAUACAGCUUACUUAUUAUCCAUGAUCAGGUACUGGAGACGCUAAUUAUCAGAACACCGACACUGACAAUAUUGAAUUUCAGAAAAGAGGACUUCCCCAUGCACACAUAUUGUUAUUCAUGCAUCCUACCAGUAAGUUGUCUACAGCCGAAGACACUGACAAAAUUAUAACUGCUGAAAUUCCUGAUAAGAAAAAGAAACCAGGGUUGUAUGCAGUGGUUAAAGACUGUAUGAUUCAUGGACCGUGUGGUGUUGGUCAUCCAAAUUCACCAUGUAUGGAGAAUGGAAAAUGCAAAAAGUAUUUCCCCAAAAGCUAUUCUGACACUACUAAGGUUGAUAAUGAUGGGUUUCCAGUUUAUAGAAGACGUGACACUGGUAUUUACGUCGAGAAGAACGGUUUUCAAUGCGAUAAUCGUUACGUCAUCCCAUAUAAUGAAAAGGUAUCUCUACGUUAUCAGGCUCAUAUUAAUGUGGAAUUGUGUAAUCAAUCAGGUUCAAUAAAGUAUCUUUUU
rnacentral:sRNA from 1 species